GACGAACGCUGGCGGCGUGCUUAACACAUGCAAGUCGAACGGAAAGGCCCUGCUUUUGUGGGGUGCUCGAGUGGCGAACGGGUGAGUAACACGUGAGUAACCUGCCCUUGACUUUGGGAUAACUUCAGGAAACUGGGGCUAAUACCGGAUAGGAGCUCCUGCUGCAUGGUGGGGGUUGGAAAGUUUCGGCGGUUGGGGAUGGACUCGCGGCUUAUCAGCUUGUUGGUGGGGUAGUGGCUUACCAAGGCUUUGACGGGUAGCCGGCCUGAGAGGGUGACCGGCCACAUUGGGACUGAGAUACGGCCCAGACUCCUACGGGAGGCAGCAGUGGGGAAUAUUGCACAAUGGGCGGAAGCCUGAUGCAGCAACGCCGCGUGCGGGAUGACGGCCUUCGGGUUGUAAACCGCUUUCGCCUGUGACGAAGCGUGAGUGACGGUAAUGGGUGAAGAAGUAUCGGCUAACUACGUG
rnacentral:rRNA from 1 species